GAAUCUUGCUGAAUAAUAAUGACAGUAGUAUUAGUAUAGCUAGGGAAACAAUAAUAAUGACAGUCAGUAAACAAAAUUAGAUCCAUCAAUUUGGUUAUUGGAUCUUAAUCAUUCUCGUUGAUUGGAUCUUAAUCAUUCUCGUUCGAAUCAUCAUUUUUGUUUUGUGGCCCUUCACCAGCCAGGGAGAGGAGAGGUACUGCCGCUUGGCUGCUGCCGCCCCCGCGCCAGCCCCGAUCUCCGGCGGCGCGUCGCAUGCUGAGGACGGCGGCGCCGCAGGCGAGCGGGCGGGAGCCGGCGUUGAUGACGGUGGCCACGCGGGCGAGCGGUCGGCCGCAACGGACGGCGGCGGCGUGGAUGGAAGGGGGUGCCGUCGGCCGGCGGCAGGCCGCGUGGGGGAACGACCAAUGCGAGAAAAACGGAUCCAGAAAAACAAACGCCAAACAAAAAAAAAUAAGAUUUCUUUUUGUAGGAUUAUUACGUAUUAAGACGAGAUUAUCCUUAAUGAAAACGUGUAAUUUUAACUCCAAAUGUAAAAAUUACUAAGAAAUAUGUGCGUGCGUUGCUACGGGUAUAUAAUCUAUAUUCGUAGCAAAUGGCGACAUAAAUCAUGUCUUUUUAAUUAAAUUAAAUUUUAAAAUUAUGUAUGUAUAUCUAAAUACAUAACAAAAUCUAUGUAUUUAUGAAAAGCCAGAACGAUCUAUAACUUGAAACGAGGAGUAUAGUUUAUUUUAUGAUGAUGACCAUGUUAUCCAUUAUCAGCAAAACUGCCUCGAACGUACUGGCCCACGAGAGACGGGAGGGGCGACUCGUAUGGCGACCGACGAGGCGGCCGGACCUGCGCCAUCUCCGGCUAGAAGAGGGGCUUCCAAGCCGGAAAAAGUAGAUAAUGAGCGGUGCGCGACGCUCCUUCCUCCUAUCCGGAGGAACGGGGCAGUAAAAUCAGACAGCGAGACUCAUGGAGAGUUGCUCAAGGAUUGUCGAUUCCGCCCCAUGGAGGGGAUGGAGAUUUGGUCGGAGAUGCAGGACGAGGGCAAGGAGCCUCCCCUUCAUCCUCUGCCUCGAAUCAGUUGAGAACAGAGGAAUGGCCUUCGAUCCAGAGAUCAUUGCAAAUCCAGAGAAAUUGAAGACUUGCUAUGGUUCCAGGGCUCUAGUGCGACAAGGCAAGUCGAAUCAAGAGCAAGGAAGCUAUACCCUCACGACUAAGGGGGAAAUUCAAAGGGCAAAUCAUAAUUUAGCUCAGGAUAUUAGGAAACAUUUAUUCUCUUCUGAGAUAGGAGAUGAUUGCUUAGAGAAGCUAGCAAAAUCAUGUGAUCAAUUGGAACAAGCUAUGAAUAGAAUGAACUAGGUUUGGUGGCGCGCGGUGCUGCGCAGCCCCCUGAAUUUGCAGGUGUUUGAUUUUCUGCAAGUCGGAUUGGGAUGCAAGCACCGCUGCAAGGGAGAGUGGAUGUCCUCUGACAGUUAGGAUUUGCAAGCUACUUUGAACUGUGAAAAAUUCGUAAUGCACACAAAGCAAAAACUCUUGCUUAGGAGUCUGGAAUGGUGGAUUAAGUAAUCCUGGCAGGCUGAAAGACAUGAACCAUGUAAAUAAAAUGUGGACCAAAAAUUUUACCGAUUGCGGAAUCAACUUCUGUGCAACUUUUCUUUGUAAGGAGAACCACUAUGCAUAAUUGUAUCACCUAGAGUUAAUUUUUUUGAUGAAAUAUUAAUUAAGAGGGAUGCUUGCUUUUGGCAUA